AUGGAUUUCAUGGACGGUCUACCACAGUCCAACAAAUGCAACUGCAUCCUGGUGGUGGUCGACAAAUUUACCAUAUAUGCCCAUUUCCUUCCUCUAACUCACAACUUUACAGAUGCGAAAGUUGCUCAUUCCUACCUGGAAAAUGUCUAUAAAAUGCAUGGCCUACCAGAAGCUAUCAUCUCUGAUCGGGACCUAGUGUUCACCAGCAAGUUUUGGAGCGAGCUGCUCCGUGUUGUCGAUACUGAACUCUCUAUGAGCACGCCAUAUCACCCCCAUAUAGAUGGUCAGACCGAGCGCGUCAACCAGUCCUUGGAGAUUUAUCUACAAUGUUUCAUACAUGCAUGUCCAGGCAAGUGGAGUUAG
rnacentral:rRNA from 1 species